GUUCAUUCGAGCUGUUUGGAUAGAAAAUACAGAGAAAUAAAGAGAGAAAAUUUGAUUGAUAAUUUUUUGUGCUGGCCAUCAUGGUUAAAUGUAAUAAAUUGUUUGAAUGAAAUGCAUAAACCACAGUCUAACUAAUGCAGAUUUAAGCAGUUCAAAAUUAAAUGUCAUGGAGAUUUUUUAUAUAAACAUUAAGUUAUUCCUUUUUUCCUUGUUUUUUUAACAUGCUUUCAUAGUGUAUAUGUUAUUUUCAGUGUUUAGAUAUAUUCUUUAUUAUAUAUUCUUUAUUAUAUGAUGUAUUUAAAACAUUUUUAAAUUGAAUGAAUGUUCUUAGAUAAUGAGUUAUGUGAUAAAUUUGAAUUUGCUACUACUAGUGAUAUUCAGAUAGAAUCAGAUUUAGAAAACGGUUAACAAACUUUCUAAAAUUGGAGGUAAAACCAUUAAGACAAAUACAAAUAAAUGUGAUGCAAAGUGUAUGACAGCAUGCAACCUUAAUCAAACUUAUAACCUGACGAAGUGUCUCAUAACUUGUAAAAAUUAUAAUUUGUGUGAACUUGGUUGUUUAUUCUACAAUCAUAUCAAAGAAAAUGACACUGGUUGUUGACCAACGGUUUAUAAUCGAAAUUUAAUAUGGCUGGCGGUAAAGGUAAAGAGAAGUUUAAAGGAACAAACAUUAGAGAGCGUUUUGUCAAUUAAAGGGACUACAGCUACAGUUACCGAAAUAAGAAAGGAAUGACUUUAUUAAAAUACGCACUCGACAGAUCAAAUGGUGGUGAUCGGCGCGUAAAAGGCAGUUCACCCGAUGUAUAACAUUCAUACUUUUUCCUAGUUGUUCUGGAACUAUUGAUAAUAGU